GAUGAAGAACGCAGCGAAAUGCGAUAAGUAGUGUGAAUUGCAGAAUUCCGUGAAUCAUCGAAUCUUUGAACGCACAUUGCGCCUUCUGGUAUUCCGGAAGGCAUGCCUGUUCGAGAGUCAUUAACAACCGUUUCGAUCCCUUUCUUUCAGAAAUUACAAAGAGGAAAAGGGUUUGGUUAUGGUGGAGGAGGGAAAGGGAGCGUUUAGCUUGUAAAAAAAGAGGCUGUGUUCCGCCUCCCCCCCAAAAUUGUACAGGCGGUCGUGUGCGCCCACGCAUCGAGGUGUUGUAAAAGCUGCCACGGCACUUUUCACCUGUGCAGUGCGAGAUUGGCCAGCCGGUUUAAAAACCCCUCCAAACAAUCAAAGGUUGACCUCGGAUCAGGUAGGGAUACCCGCUGAACUUAAGCAUAUCAAUAAGCGGAGGA
rnacentral:misc_RNA from 1 species